CGCGGCCUAUCAGCUUGUUGGUGGGGUAGUGGCCUACCAAGGCGACGACGGGUAGCCGGCCUGAGAGGGCGACCGGCCACACUGGGACUGAGACACGGCCCAGACUCCUACGGGAGGCAGCAGUGGGGAAUAUUGCGCAAUGGGCGGAAGCCUGACGCAGCGACGCCGCGUGGGGGAUGACGGCCUUCGGGUUGUAAACCUCUUUCAGCAGGGACGAAGUUGACGUGUACCUGCAGAAGAAGCGCCGGCUAACUACGUGCCAGCAGCCGCGGUAAUACGUAGGGCGCAAGCGUUGUCCGGAAUUAUUGGGCGUAAAGAGCUCGUAGGUGGCUGGUCGCGUCUGCCGUGAAAGCCCGCAGCUUAACUGCGGGUCUGCGGUGGAUACGGGCCGGCUAGAGGUAGGUAGGGGCAAGUGGAAUUCCUGGUGUAGCGGUGAAAUGCGCAGAUAUCAGGAGGAACACCGGUGGCGAAGGCGGCUUGCUGGGCCUUACCUGACGCUGAGGAGCGAAAGCGUGGGGAGCGAACAGGAUUAGAUACCCUGGUAGUCCACGCUGUAAACGUUGGGCGCUAGGUGUGGGGAUCUUCCACGAUCUCCGUGCCGGAGCUAACGCAUUAAGCGCCCCGCCUGGGGAGUACGG
rnacentral:rRNA from 1 species